rnacentral:misc_RNA from 1 species
AACGCAACUUGCACUUGGCGUCAAACCCAAGUAUGCCUGUUUGAGUAUCAUUUUAUUCCAUCUCAUCCACACAUAUUAUAUAUAUGUGAGAUAUGAUGAGGAACUUGAGUGUUUGAUAAUCAUAUUAUCAUCACUUUAAAUGCAUAGUAUAUUAUUUGGUGUAUCAUUGGUGUAAAAGCCUCUACAGAUAUAAUAGCAUUGUCAGGAUCUUAAAAUCAUCCCUAUGCUCUUUUUACCUGUAGUGUAUAUAGCUGUUAUCCUGCGACACCAUCUUCCGCUCAUAACACUUUAGCUCUGUUGUAGAUGGAAGAAAAUCAUAAUUCUAUGAUCUCAAAUCAGGCAAGACUACCCGCUGAACUUAA